rnacentral:rRNA from 1 species
CCCCAGCGCCACAAGUGGCAUUCACAUUUACUUGGUCUAAAGCGUCCGUAGCAGGUUUGAUAAAUCUUUUGUGAAAUCGUCGGGCUUAACUCGACGGCGUGCAGGGGACACUAUCAGACUUGGGACCGGGAGGAGUCAGAAGUAUUCUUUGGGGAGCGGUAAAAUGCUAUAAUCCAUUGAAGACUACCAGUGGCGAAGGCGUCUGACUAGAACGGAUCCGACUGUGAGGGACGAAAGCUAGGGGAGCGAUCCGG